rnacentral:rRNA from 1 species
GGGAAGUCGGGGGCAGCGGCCGGGGUAAUACGGAGGGGGGGAGGGGUGUCCGGAGUGACUGGGCGGAAAGCGCGUGUAGGCGGGUUGCCAAGUCCGCGGUGAAAGACCGAGGCUCAAGCGCGGAGGGUCGGUGGAUACUGGCAGGCUUGAAGUGGCUAGGGGGAGAUGGAAUUACCGGUGUAGCGGUGAAAUGCGUAGAGAUCGGUAGGAACACCAGUGGCGAAGGCGGUCUCCUGGAGCUAACUUGACGCUGAGACGCGAAAGCUGGGGGAGCGAACGGGAUUAGAUACCCCAGUAGUC